CCUACGGGUGGCAGCAGUCGAGAAUCAUUCACAAUGGGGGAAACCCUGAUGGUGCGACGCCGCGUGGGUGAAGGAGUGUCUCGGUAUGUAAAGCCCUAUCAGCAGGGAAGAAAAUGACGAUACCUGACUAAGAAGCCCCGGCUAACUACGUGCCAGCAGCCGCGGUAAUACGUAGGGGGCGAGCGUUAUCCGGAUUUACUGGGUGUAAAGGGAGCGCAGACGGUGAUGCAAGUAUGAUGUGAAAGGCCGGGGCUCAACCGCGGCACUGCUUUGGAAACUGCGGGACUGGAGUGCAGGAGGGGCAAGCGGAAUUCCUGGUGUAGCGGUGAAAUGCGUAGAUAUCAGGAGGAACACCAGUGGCGAAGGCGGCUUGCUGGACAGUAACUGACGUUGAGGCCCGAAAGCGUGGGGAGCAAACAGGAUUAGAUACCCGAGUAGUC
rnacentral:rRNA from 1 species